rnacentral:lncRNA from 1 species
CUUGUGUGAGAUGGGUUCUCUAAUUCUGUAUUGAUAUAUUUGCAGGUAAAGAUGCAACAAAUGAUUUUGAAGAUGUUGGCCACAGUGAUAAUGCUAGAGAGAUGAUGGAGAAAUAUUACAUUGGUGAGAUAGACGCUGCAACUGUUCCUCUGAAACGCACCUAUGUUGCACCACAGCAAACCACCUACAAUCCCGACAAGACUCCAGAGUUUUUGAUUAAAAUUUUACAGUUUGUUGUUCCCCUCUUGAUCUUGGGCCUAGCCUUUGCAGUCCGAUUCUACACCAAAGAAAAGUAGUCGGUUAUAAAUUACCUCCAGGGUAAGAUGGAGGGCUGCGCUAAUUUAUCCAACCAAGUAGUUAGAAGAACGGUUUCUUGUUUUAGUUGUAUUGUAUUUGUGCACGCGGAAUUGGGACAUUAGUUCAUAAUGUGGCAACAGUGUAUCAUCAAUUACCGGGUUGUGUUAUUUUGUUUGAUGACAAUCAAGAGUCUUAUUGUUACAUUUCUAUUUGCCUGGUGGAGGGUCCAUUGGACCUCCUUCAAGAGUAACUUUAUAACAUCUCUUCUCUCUUAUGAUACGUUUUUAAUUUGGAAUGCUUAGGUAUGGAACAUACCAUCUCAACCUGUGCCAAAAGCAGGAAAAAUUUAUGCACUCGUGUUUUUAUUAAAGCCUUGUUGGUAUUUUAUGUUUGCAAGGAUAUUACUGCUUUCAAGGGAUUGUAAUUUAUAGAUAGUAUGUUUGUUUUGAAGGGAUUAUUGCGAAUAUGAAAAUUUUGGUCUAAACUUGUAAAUCUUGAAGUGGUCAUUUAAAGUCAUAUGAUGCUAUGAGAGAUGAUUCAGAAUACAAAUUUGGUGUCAAACAUAAACUAAAAGAUUAAAAUCUAAUUGCUCCGAUAAAACUAGCAAAACAAACAUACCUCUACCGUUAAAUUUCUGUCUAUGGCUAGAAGAACUGUGUUGACUAAAUCUUUUUUUCGAAGCCAUUCCUGUUUAUGCUACGCAGGAUAUUCCUGUUCCUUAUCAGAUUUGUUAUGAUAGGGAUAAAAUUGUUAGGAAUUUUUUAUGGGGUCAUUCUAUUACUUCUCAGAAAUGGCAUGUCUUCAAUGACUGGUAGGCAAAGGGGAUUCCAUCUCAUUUUGGUAUGACAAAUGGUGCGGAAGCCAAACUCUCAGAAGUUUGUUUAUGGUCGGUCCCCUUAGAUGCAAUAUUGAGCAGGCUGGACUUCCUUUAAGCUGAAUCAAAUUCAAAUGUAUGGAAUCUUGAUAUGCUUCAGUCUUCACUGUUUUUGUUAUGGUUUGUGAUUUUGAAGAGAGAAUCACCCCUAGAUGUGUGGUUUUAAUAUAAGUUGCACUCGUUUGUUCUAUAAAAAAAAAGAGAAAGAAGUAAACAUAGGAAAUACCGAUAACAUAACCAACUCAAGUUUAUCAUUAUAAUUUCAGUAUCAUUCCAUAAAUAUUAUACUCACACUCAAUAAUUGAAAUAUGUGCUUAAUUUUACGAAUGAAGCUCAUUUGUAGAAAACCACACAAAACAACAAUAUUAUUAUUAGCUUUUGCCUUUAGCCGUAUAAAUUAAGAAAUUGCAAAAUAGAUAAGCUGAAUUAAUACCACAAAAUUUAAGUUCCAACCAUUUUGCACUAUAUAUAGAUAUCUCUUGCAUUUCCUGCACAACAUUGGAGUGGGAUACAUAAUCACAACAUCAAAUGUAAUAAUUGACCAGGCCUCUCAUACCAGACUAAUUUCCAACAGACAAAUGCUCAAGCAAACCAGAUAAUCAAGAGCAAGGAUUAGAAAUGUAUUAUCAAAGUUUUGAUCUUUCAGUUCGUAUGGUACAAUGACUGGAAUAUGGCCCCACCCUAUGACAUGAGAGGAUCAAAUCUCUCUUUAAAUAUAAAUUUUGACACAUUGCCAUGUAAACAUCAUACCAGUAUAUAAAUCCAUAUGCUCGUGUGAAGCAUUUGGUUGAAGAGACAUUAAAGACUAGACCCCAAAUAAAUAAGGUCAAAUAACAGAAUCAAAGAUAAAUUAGUGAAUGAAAAUUUCCAGCUUAAGCUGUAUCAGAAAGGGGGUUCUCUAUCUUGUUAUGGAGGGUGACCACCAAAUCAUGUGCAUCAUCUAGGAGCUUCCANNNNNNNNNNNNNNNNNNNNNNNNNNNNNNNNNNNNNNNNNNNNNNNNNNNNNNNNNNNNNNNNNNNNNNNNNNNNNNNNNNNNNNNNNNNNNNNNNNNNCAUGUAGUUAGAAGAACGGUUUCUUGUUUUAGUUGUAUUGUAUUUGUGCACGCGGAAUUCGGACAUUAGUUCGUAAUGUGGUCUGUAGUCUCUUCUAUAAUUCUUGGAUGACUUCUGGCAACAGUGUAUCAUCAAUUACCGAGUUGUGUUAUUUUGUUUGAUGACAAUCAAGAGUCCUAUUGUUACAUUUCUAUUUUACCUAGUGGAGGGUCCUAUUGGCCCUCCUUCAAGAGUUACUUUAUAACAUCUCUCUUCUCUUAUGCUACGUUUUUAAUUUGGAAUGCUUAGGUAUGGAACAUACCAUCUCAUCCUGUGCCAAAAGCAGUAAAAAUUCAUGCACUCGUGUUUUUAUUAAAGCCUUGUUGGUAUUUUAUGUUUGCAAGGAUAUUACUGCUUUCAAGGGAUUGUAAUUUAUACAUAGUAUGUUUGUUUUGAAGGGGAAAUAUGAAAAUUUUGGUCUAAACUUGUAAA